GAGCACUAACAACUGGGAGCACCAAGAAUGGCUUUGGGUAGGAAGUGGCACUUGAGCUGAGCCUUGAAGAAAACUCAGGAUUCCCAGAAGUAGAAGUGAGGAGCAAGGGCAUUCCAACAGUUGUUACAACCUGAGAGGCAUUAUGAUAAAGCAGGUCAAAUGUUGUAAAGAAGUAAAGAAGAUCCAGGUUCAAAUUCAGUCUUUGACACCAAUUGGAUGUGUGAUCCUGGGAUUGAAUAGAUGAAGAAGUCAAACUCAAAAAGAGCAGAGGCCAGCUUAAAUACAAACAGCUUGGGUGAGAUGGCGAAAAGGAUGAUGGAAAACAUA